CUCUGUGAUGUCAUUCACAUUUGAGAGCUCCCUGCUGGGUCAGACUGAGGCUCAACUGCUGCUGAAUCUGUACCUUUGCCUAUUUCUACCCCAUCUCAUCCUGAGAGCACCCUCCCACUCAAUCACAGUGCAGCAGCCUGUCCUGCUAACCAAGGAAUCACAGAUAGGGUGGUGGAGCAUCCUCUUGGAGGCACAGUGGAGCUGUCAUCUUGAAGAUGACACCCAUGAGGAGGGCCCAGUCUCCUCCAGAAUGCAAUAUGCACUCUAAUGGCUAUGGGAUGAGGCCAUGUUCCUGAAAGACUGAAAUAAAGGGAGAUGUUCAGCCUCAGGUGUAGAAGCAGUGAGACAAUUUCCCACCACGGAGGAAGAUGAAGAGCAGGAGAGGAGAGGCUGGCGGCUCCCAGGAGCAGAUCACCUGCCCCCACUGCAAGGCCCCCGUGUGCUCAAUAAACUGACCCUUGCGCAGAG
rnacentral:lncRNA from 1 species